UAGGUGCAAAUUUGAGGUGCUACAGCGAUGUCAAUCAUCUUUCCCCAACCUGGGGCUUCUCCACUCUUCACCACCUCGGCGGCCUGCUUGUAAGAAGAAAUGGAUGGCUUCUUCUCUUCUUUAGCAAAGAUGGCAUUCUCCACCUUGACGGUUUCGAACGCCUGGCUUGGUGUCUCAAAUAUUUCACCGUCCAUUUCAACAUACUUGAACGAUGACAAGUGGCUUACAAAGAUG
rnacentral:lncRNA from 1 species